GAAGUGAAGAUAGUUUCGUCGCGCAUAGGCGAACAUAAAAACCCCUUGCAAAAUCCUACAAAUGCAAGGGGUUUUUUCUAUUUUGCAAUAGAAGCACUAAUCAGCACUGUCAUCAAGCCAUUUCUGGAUUAAUAACAGGAUUAUUCCAACCAAUAGCGGUGCGAUAAUAGUUGUGAAGAUAGCUUCGCACAUAGACGUCACCUCCUUAGCUAAGGCAGGUAUAGUAGUGCCAGUCAAUAUUAUAUCAUGUACGUUAUCGAUUGGAUAGCGUACUUUUUUGUUUAAAAGUAUAAAACACCACCUAGCUGCUAUCUAGAUGGUGCUACGGAAAUUAUUCUGCUCGAAA
rnacentral:antisense_RNA from 1 species